rnacentral:rRNA from 1 species
GCGGCGUGCCUAAUACAUGCAAGUCGAGCGAACAGACGAGGAGCUUGCUCCUCUGACGUUAGCGGCGGACGGGUGAGUAACACGUGGAUAACCUACCUAUAAGACUGGGAUAACUUCGGGAAACCGGAGCUAAUACCGGAUAAUAUAUUGAACCGCAUGGUUCAAUAGUGAAAGACGGUUUUGCUGUCACUUAUAGAUGGAUCCGCGCCGCAUUAGCUAGUUGGUAAGGUAACGGCUUACCAAGGCAACGAUGCGUAGCCGACCUGAGAGGGUGAUCGGCCACACUGGAACUGAGACACGGUCCAGACUCCUACGGGAGGCAGCAGUAGGGAAUCUUCCGCAAUGGGCGAAAGCCUGACGGAGCAACGCCGCGUGAGUGAUGAAGGUCUUCGGAUCGUAAAACUCUGUUAUUAGGGAAGAAUAAAUGUGUAAGUAACUAUGCACGUCUUGACGGUACCUAAUCAGAAAGCCACGGCUAACUACGUGCCAGCAGCCGCGGUAAUACGUAGGUGGCAAGCGUUAUCCGGAAUUAUUGGGCGUAAAGCGCGCGUAGGCGGUUUUUUAAGUCUGAUGUGAAAGCCCACGGCUCAACCGUGGAGGGUCAUUGGAAACUGGAAAACUUGAGUGCAGAAGAGGAAAGUGGAAUUCCAUGUGUAGCGGUGAAAUGCGCAGAGAUAUGGAGGAACACCAGUGGCGAAGGCGACUUUCUGGUCUGU